GCUUGUCUCAAAGAUUAAGCCAUGCAUGUCUCAGUAUAAGCUUUUACACGGCGAAACUGCGAAUGGCUCAUUAAAACAGUUAUCGUUUCUUUGGUGGUUAUUGAUUACAUGGAUAGCCGUGGUAAUUCUAGAGCUAAUACAUGCUGUAAAGCCCGACUUCUCGGAAGGGCCGUAUUUAUUAGAUAACAGACCAGCAGCUUCGGCUAUUGUGGUGAAUCAUAGUAACUAAUCGGAUCGCAUGGGCUAGUCCCGCGACAAACCAUUCAAGUUUCUGCCCCAUCAGCUUUCGACGGUAGUGUAUUGGACUACCGUGGCUUUUACGGGUAACGGAGGAUUAGGGUUCGAUUCCGGAGAGGGAGCCUGAGAAACGGCUACCACAUCUAAGGAAGGCAGCAGG
rnacentral:rRNA from 1 species